CCUACGGGUGGCAGCAGUGAGGAAUAUUGGUCAAUGGACGAGAGUCUGAACCAGCCAAGUAGCGUGAGGGAUGACUGCCCUAUGGGUUGUAAACUUCUUUUAUAAAGGAAUAAAACGAGGCACGUGUGCCUUUUUGCAUGUACUUUAUGAAUAAGGAUCGGCUAACUCCGUGCCAGCAGCCGCGGUAAUACGGAGGAUCCGAGCGUUAUCCGGAUUUGUUGGGUUUAAAGGGAGCGUAGAUGGGUUGUUAAGUCAGUUGUGAAAGUUUGCGGCUCAACCGUAAAAUUGCAAUUGAUACUGGCAGUCUUGAGUACAGUUGAGGUAGGCGGAAUUCGUGGUGUAGCGGUGAAAUGCUUAGAUAUCACGAAGAACCCCGAUUGCGAAGGCAGCUUACUAAACUGUGACUGACAUUGAUGCUCGAAAGUGUGGGUAUCGAACAGGAUUAGAUACCCUAGUAGUC
rnacentral:rRNA from 1 species